GGAAUUUUAUAGGAUUCUAAUGAUAACCAUAGAGUUCCAAACUCAUUUCUAUGGCAACACAGCUGUCCAUUUUUAAAUCAGCAAUUUUCUAAAAUAUGUGUUGCCAAGAGACAUCUAACCGAUAGAACAUCUCGGCGUUCUUUUGAACGUUUUCUGUUCGAAAACAAGAACCACUUCAAUUUGCUGUUUAACAACAACAAACUUGACUGAUUUUUGAGACCUGAGAUUGAAACAUCGACUGGAAAAUGCCUGGGUGCUUUUCAAGAUUGAUGGAGGGAGUGCGAGGACGUCGGCAGCCUUCUGCGUCGACAGGUUGUUCAAAUUCAUUUGUGGGUUGUUUUUGUUGUCUUUUUCCGUUUUGCAGGGUUCGCGAUCGUCGGGAGGUGGACAGCGACAGCGACUUCGAAGAGGAAUCAAAUGUACUGGAUGAGGUCCAGUUGGAUGUGCCACUGCUGCCAGUCAUCCUGAUGUCCAGGAUGCUGCUAUCAUCCUUGAGGAUGUGCCAGAUGUACCGACUAUCCUUGAGGAGGCCACUGGUAAUUGGCAGUUGAUACCGAUUAGGUUCAGC
ensembl:lncRNA